rnacentral:rRNA from 1 species
GAUGAACGCUGGCGGCGUGCCUAAUACAUGCAAGUCGAGCGAACAGACGAGGAGCUUGCUCCUCUGACGUUAGCGGCGGACGGGUGAGUAACACGUGGAUAACCUACCUAUAAGACUGGGAUAACUUCGGGAAACCGGAGCUAAUACCGGAUAACAUGUUGAACCGCAUGGUUCAACAGUGAAAGACGGUCUUGCUGUCACUUAUAGAUGGAUCCGCGCCGCAUUAGCUAGUUGGUAAGGUAACGGCUUACCAAGGCAACGAUGCGUAGCCGACCUGAGAGGGUGAUCGGCCACACUGGAACUGAGACACGGUCCAGACUCCUACGGGAGGCAGCAGUAGGGAAUCUUCCGCAAAGGGCGAAAGCCUGACGGAGCAACGCCGCGUGAGUGAAGAAGGUCUUCGGAUCGUAAAACUCUGUUAUUAGGGAAGAACAAAUGUGUAAGUAACUAUGCACGUCUUGACGGUACCUAAUCAGAAAGCCACGGCUAACUACGUG